AAAACGAAAGCACUCAGUGCUGGAAGUAGGAGGAGAGUCAGGACUCCCAGGACAGAGAGUGCACAAACUCUGGAGGCUGAAGAGGGAUUCCAGCCCCUGCCACCCACAGACACGGGCUGACUGGGGUGUCUGCCCCCCUUGGGGGGGGGCAGCACAGGGCCUCAGGCCUGGGUGCCACCUGGCACCUAGAAGAUGCCUGUGCCCUGGUUCUUGCUGUCCUUGGCACUGGGCCGAAGCCCAGUGGUCCUUUCUCUGGAGAGGCUUGUGGGGUCUCAGGACGCUACCCACUGCUCUCCGGGCCUCUCCUGCCACCUCUGGGACAGUGACAUACUCUGCCUGCCUGGGGACAUCGUGCCUGCUCCGGGCCCCGUGCUGGCGCCUACGCACCUGCAGACAGAGCUGGUGCUGAGGUGCCAGAAGGAGACCGACUGUGACCUCUGUCUGCGUGUGGCUGUCCACUUGGCCGUGCAUGGGCACUGGGAAGAGCCUGAAGAUGAGGAAAAGUUUGGAGGAGCAGCUGACUCAGGGGUGGAGGAGCCUAGGAAUGGUGAGGAGAACCUGGCUGGCCCAACUGCCCCAUGCCAAGGCUCCUGGGCCUGACUGACCCCUGCCCUGUUGCCCACAGCCUCUCUCCAGGCCCAAGUCGUGCUCUCCUUCCAGGCCUACCCUACUGCCCGCUGCGUCCUGCUGGAGGUGCAAGUGCCUGCUGCCCUUGUGCAGUUUGGUCAGUCUGUGGGCUCUGUGGUAUAUGACUGCUUCGAGGCUGCCCUAGGGAGUGAGGUACGAAUCUGGUCCUAUACUCAGCCCAGGUACGAGAAGGAACUCAACCACACACAGCAGCUGCCUGCCCUGCCCUGGCUCAACGUGUCAGCAGAUGGUGACAACGUGCAUCUGGUUCUGAAUGUCUCUGAGGAGCAGCACUUCGGCCUCUCCCUGUAUUGGAAUCAGGUCCAGGGCCCCCCAAAACCCCGGUGGCACAAAAACCUGGUGAGGCCUCCCCCUUCCCAAGUCCAUUCCCACUGUAGGCUGAUGCCUGUGCAAAGGAUGCAGUGCCUUAUCAGAGAGGAUCCUUGAAGAGGACUCACCCCAAGCAAGGGAAAAUUGGUGGGGGAACUUUUGCCUUCCUGGUUUCCUUGACUUUGGCCUCCUCCUCUUCCUCCUUAUCUUCUCCAACCUUCUUCCUUUAUUUGUUCCACAGACUGGACCGCAGAUCAUUACCUUGAACCACACAGACCUGGUUCCCUGCCUCUGCAUUCAGGUGUGGCCUCUGGAACCUGACUCCGUUAGGACGAACAUCUGCCCCUUCAGGGAGGACCCCCGCGCACACCGGAACCUCUGGCAAGCCGCCCGGCUGCGACUGCUGACCCUGCAGAGCUGGCUGCUGGACGCACCGUGCUGGCUGCCCGCAGAAGCGGCACUGUGCUGGCGGGCUCCGGGUGGGGACCCCUGCCAGCCACUGGUCCCACCGCUUUCCUGGGAGAAUGUCACUGUGGACAAAGUUCUCGAGUUCCCAUUGCUGAAAGGCCACCCUAACCUCUGUGUUCAGGUGAACAGCUCGGAGAAGCUGCAGCUGCAGGAGUGCUUGUGGGCUGACUCCCUGGGGCCUCUCAAAGAUGAUGUGCUACUGUUGGAGACACGAGGCCCCCAGGACAACAGAUCCCUCUGUGCCUUGGAACCCAGUGGCUGUACUUCACUACCCAGCAAAGCCUCCACGAGGGCAGCUCGCCUUGGAGAGUACUUACUACAAGACCUGCAGUCAGGCCAGUGUCUGCAGCUAUGGGAUGAUGACUUGGGAGCACUAUGGGCCUGCCCCAUGGACAAAUACAUCCACAAGCGCUGGGCCCUCGUGUGGCUGGCCUGCCUACUCUUUGCCGCUGCGCUUUCCCUCAUCCUCCUUCUCAAAAAGGAUCACGCGAAAGGGUGGCUGAGGCUCUUGAAACAGGACGUCCGCUCGGGGGCGGCCGCCAGGGGCCGCGCGGCUCUGCUCCUCUACUCAGCCGAUGACUCGGGCUUCGAGCGCCUGGUGGGCGCCCUGGCGUCGGCCCUGUGCCAGCUGCCGCUGCGCGUGGCCGUAGACCUGUGGAGCCGUCGUGAACUGAGCGCGCAGGGGCCCGUGGCUUGGUUUCACGCGCAGCGGCGCCAGACCCUGCAGGAGGGCGGCGUGGUGGUCUUGCUCUUCUCGCCCGGUGCGGUGGCGCUGUGCAGCGAGUGGCUACAGGACGGGGUGUCCGGGCCCGGGGCGCACGGCCCGCACGACGCCUUCCGCGCCUCGCUCAGCUGCGUGCUGCCCGACUUCUUGCAGGGCCGGGCGCCCGGCAGCUACGUGGGGGCCUGCUUCGACAGGCUGCUCCACCCGGACGCCGUACCCGCCCUUUUCCGCACCGUGCCCGUCUUCACACUGCCCUCCCAACUGCCAGACUUCCUGGGGGCCCUGCAGCAGCCUCGCGCCCCGCGUUCCGGGCGGCUCCUAGAGAGAGCGGAGCAAGUGUCCCGGGCCCUUCAGCCAGCCCUGGAUAGCUACUUCCAUCCCCCGGGGACUCCCGCGCCGGGACGCGGGGUGGGACCUGGGGCGGGGGACGGGACUUAA
rnacentral:sRNA from 1 species